CAUGCCUGUCAAAAUCAUAUGGUUGGUGAGAGUGCUUAAUUCAACAACCAAUAUAAUGAAUCUAAUUAAUUAAUCGUAGGUAUUUAAGCGGCAUUUAUUUAGAUUAUUGUAAUUGCAACACUCAGUGUAAUCAACGUAGUUAAUCAUGGGUUACUAAGGUGCAUCAAAAUACAAAAAAGGAAGUGGAAACAUUAAAGUGACCAGUACCUAGAAAAAGACGUCCACAGGUCCACGACAUGAAGAAUUAGGUACCUACCGAAAAAGGAUGCAGUUCAAAAGAAGAUGGUGCAGUAAUGGAACAUCACAAGAAAUCUGAAGAGGCUAAAGUACCUUAAGAGAAUCAAAUGUAAAUAUUAAAGCUAAUAAAUGUUUUUAUUUUUA